CAUACCGAAAGGUAUGCUAAUACGAGAUAAUAUAUUUUAAUCGCAUGGUUAAGAUAUCAAAGCUCUGGCGGUACAGGAUGGACCCGCGUCUGAUUAGCUAGUUGGUGAGGUAAUGGCUCACCAAGGCGACGAUCAGUAGCCGACCUGAGAGGGUGAUCGGCCACACUGGAACUGAGACACGGUCCAGACUCCUACGGGAGGCAGCAGUGGGGAAUAUUGCACAAGGGGCGAAAGCCUGAUGCAGCAACGCCGCGU
rnacentral:rRNA from 1 species